GCUCCAGUGGUGUAGACCGGUCAAGCAUGUGGGACUUUCAAUCCUACGACCCGGGUUCAAAUCCCGGCUGGAGCA
rnacentral:tRNA from 1 species